UAAAUACCACAUCGAAAGAUUACGAAUUUAUCACACCUACAAUAGUAAUUAAAGAAUUUGAGAACCUCGCCUCGCCGCCUGAAGUUCCGUCUUCUUGAUUAUCUCACCUUUUUUUGGACACACGGAGUCUGCUGAAGUUUCGUCUUCUUGAUUAUCUUGUUUACGCUAUUUUUAAUUUUCCACAUCCUUGAGACACGUAGAUGCUGCUGAAGUUUCGUCUUCUUAAUUUCUCAUGUUUCGUUUGGUGUUAGUGACAUACGAGGUUAUGUUGGAUCAUGGAUACUGAUAUGUCUGAAGCUGUAGAAUGUGAGAAGAAGAAAAAAAGUCGUAGGCCGUUCAAACCUCCUCCGAAACGUUCUAGGAAACGUGGUCGUCGUGGCGGCGCAAAAGCUCGUGGGCAGAGGUUAAGGAGGCUGGAGGGAUCGUCUUCCACAGAGGGUAGCAAUAGUGUGGCUCCAGCCCCAUCGUCGAGUCUCGGUGAUCCUUUUGGUUAUUGAUCUAACCUUCUCCGAUGAGGACACCCUUCAGUUGCCGCCAAGUUCUCCUUCGAUCGAAGUGGUUGAUACAGAUGCCUGUGCCAAGGUUCGUUUUUGGGAGGAGAUCCCUGAUCAAGUGUUGGAGGCUUACCUACGCCACCAUUCCUCAGGUCAGGCGGGUACUUGUCCGGACGUACUCUCAUGGUGUUUAAAUAGGUUUCGUGAGAUGUAUCCGGAUGCUCCGUGUGUGGAUUUUGACUUUACUUGGUAACAGUGCCUUAUUUGUUCAUGUGUGUAUAUAUGCCUAAAUGUGUUCCCAGCGGGUGUUAUUUUAUUGGAGUGAUUUUGUCUAUAUUCUUAUAUUUUAUUUAAUAAGAUAUGUUUUGUUUUCUGCGUUGAAAACACCGUAAUCACUGGUUGAUACAGCGAACAAUUGUGAACGAAAUAGAUCGAAAGUUGAUAGAGUUGUUUUAUUCCAGACAAUUCAUUAAAUCUUGAGCAAGAACGAUUAUUUCAAUUUUGAAACUAUACUCUCUGUGAACAAUCUGGAUGACAUAGUGAUUUAUUCAAGAUCUCCUCACGAACACGAAA